rnacentral:rRNA from 1 species
CACGCCGUAAACGAUGAGUGCUAAGUGUUAGGGGGUUUCCGCCCCUUAGUGCUGCAGCUAACGCAUUAAGCACUCCGCCUGGGGAGUACGGCCGCAGGGCUGAAACUCAAAGGAAUUGACGGGGGCCCGCACAAGCGGUGGAGCAUGUGGUUUAAUUCGAAGCAACGCAAAAAACCUUACCAGGUCUUGACGUCCUCUGACACUCCUAAAAAUAGGACGUUCCCCUUCGGGGGACAGAGUGACAGGUGGUGUGUGUGUCGUCAGCUCGUGUCGUGAGAUGUUGGGUUAAGUCUCCCGACACGAGCAACCCCCGUGAUCAUUUACCACAGUUUUGCUGUGCACUCUCUAGGGAAACUGCCUGAU